GUUGAGAGGAAAUACCGAAGCGCCUCCAAAAUACUGAAUUGAAUUGAGCUAAAAUGAGCUCCUGUUGUGUUUGCAAGCUACUGAGGAGAUCGUUCAUCUGAAAACAGCUGCCUAAAAUCUUCCUCUAGUCUCUGUUUGUAUCGAGGGAAGCUGCGAACGAGGAGUUCUUGCUGUGCCUUACCAAAUCUGCGACCAUGAUGGAGCGAAGAAGAGCCUUGACUCUUCCUUUUAAUGUUAAAAAGGAUAACCUGCAGGUGUCCUGGACGGCGUUUGCAGGUUGUAAACUCGGACAGCUGGAUUCGCCGCAUAAAAAUGGAUCCAA